rnacentral:rRNA from 1 species
GAUGAACGCUGGCGGCGUGCUUAACACAUGCAAGUCGAACGGGAAACCUUUUAUUGAAGCUUCGGCAGAUUUAGCUGGUUUCUAGUGGCGGACGGGUGAGUAACGCGUGGGUAACCUGCCUUAUACAGGGGGAUAACAACCAGAAAUGGUUGCUAAUACCGCAUAAGCGCACAGGACCGCAUGGUCCGGUGUGAAAAACUCCGGUGGUAUAAGAUGGACCCGCGUUGGAUUAGCUAGUUGGCAGGGUAACGGCCUACCAAGGCGACGAUCCAUAGCCGGCCUGGGAGGGUGAACGGCCACAUUGGGACUGAGACACGGCCCAGACUCCUACGGGAGGCAGCAGUGGGGAAUAUUGCACAAUGGGGGAAACCCUGAUGCAGCGACGCCGCGUGAAGGAAGAAGUAUCUCGGUAUGUAAACUUCUAUCAGCAGGGAAGAUAGUGACGGUACCUGACUAAGAAGCCCCGGCUAACUACGU